rnacentral:rRNA from 1 species
UACGAAGGGGGCUAGCGUUGCUCGGAAUUAUUGGGCGUAAAGGGUGCGUAGGCGGGUCUUUAAGUCAGGGGUGAAAUCCUGGAGCUCAACUCCAGAACUGCCUUUGAUACUGAAGAUCUUGAGUUCGGGAGAGGUGAGUGGAACUGCGAGUGUAGAGGUGAAAUUCGUAGAUAUUCGCAAGAACGCCAGUGGCGAAGGCGGCUCACUGGCCCGAUACUGACGCUGAGGCACGAAAGCGUGGGGAGCAAACAGG